UUGACCUCGGAUCAGGUAGGGAUACCCGCUGAACUUAAGCAUAUCAAUAAGCGGAGGAAAAGAAACCAACAGGGAUUGCCUCAGUAACGGCGAGUGAAGCGGCAAGAGCUCAAAUUUGAAAGCUGGCCCCCCCGGGGCCCGCGUUGUAAUUUGCAGAGGAUGCUUCGGGAGCGGCCCCCAUCUAAGUGCCCUGGAACGGGCCGUCAUAGAGGG
rnacentral:rRNA from 1 species